rnacentral:sRNA from 1 species
AACAUAACAAAUGAAACCGUUUUAUCAAUUAUAUAAAGGGAGAUGAAUGUGAAUGGGUACAAUUGUAUGUCAAGAUUGUCAAGAAGUAAUCGAACACUUUGAAGAUGAGAAAGUAUCUACACUUUAUGGAUCUUGUCCUGAAUGUAAUGAUAAGAAAUAAUCAAUUAUAAAAAGCUGUUGCAAACGAAGCAACAGCUUUUUUA